rnacentral:rRNA from 1 species
GACGAACGCUGGCGGCGCGCCUAACACAUGCAAGUCGAGCGGGAAGCUUUUUAAGGAUUCUUCGGAUGAAUUAAAAGUGGAGAGCGGCGGACGGGUGAGUAACGCGUGAGAAACCUGCCCUAUACAGGGGGAUAGCCAUUGGAAACGAUGAUUAAUACCCCAUAUGACCACAGUAUCGCAUGAUACAGCGGUGAAAACUCCGGUGGUAUAGGAUGGUCUCGCGUCUGAUUAGCUAGUUGGUGGGGUAACGGCCUACCAAGGCGACGAUCAGUAGCCGGCCUGAGAGGGUGACCGGCCACACUGGAACUGAGACACGGACCAGACUCCUACGGGAGCAGCAGUGAGGAAUAUUGGUCAAUGGGUGAGAGCCUGAACCAGCCAUGCCGCGUGCAGGAUUGACGGCCCCUAUGGGUUGUAAACUACUUUUCCUGGGGAAGAACACCCCCGACGUGUCGGGGAUUGACGGUACCCGGGGAAUAAGCACCGGCUAACUCCGUGCCAGCAGCCGC